CCUACGGGUGGCAGCAGUGGGGGAUAUUGCACAAUGGGGGAAACCCUGAUGCAGCGACGCCGCGUGGGUGAAGAAGCGCCUCGGCGCGUAAAGCCCUGUCAGCAGGGAAGAAAAUGACGGUACCUGAAGAAGAAGCCCCGGCUAACUACGUGCCAGCAGCCGCGGUAAUACGUCGGGGGCAAGCGUUAUCCGGAUUUACUGGGGGUAAAGGGGGCGCAGGCGGCGAUGCAAGCCAGGAGUGAAAGACCGGGGCCCAACCCCGGGACUGCGCUUGGAAAUGCGUGGCUAGAGUGCAGGAGGGGCAGGCGGAAUUCCUGGUGUAGCGGUGAAAUGCGUAGAUAUCAGGAGGAACACCGGUGGCGAAGGCGGCCUGCUGGACUGCAACUGACGUUGAGGCCCGAAAGCGUGGGGAGCAAACAGGAUUAGAUACCCUAGUAGUC
rnacentral:rRNA from 1 species